rnacentral:rRNA from 1 species
AUUGAACGCUGGCGGCAGGCCUAACACAUGCAAGUCGAGCGGAGCGGCGGACGGGUGAGUAAUGCCUAGGAAUCUGCCUGGUAGUGGGGGAUAACGUCAGGAAACGGGCGCUAAUACCGCAUAAUAUCAGAAGAGCCUAGGUCGGAUUAGCAAGUUGGUGGGGUAAAGGCAUACCAAGGCGACGAUCCGUAACUGGUAUGAGAGGAUGAUAAGUAACCCUGGAACUGAGACACGGUCCAGACUCCUCCGGGAGGCAGCAGUUGUGAAUAUUGCACAAUGGGCGCAAGCCUGAUGCAGCCAUGCCGCGUGUAUGAAGAAGGCCUUCGGGUUGUAAAGUACUUUCAGCUGGGAGGCGUUACCCGCAGAAGAAGCACCGGCUAACUCCGUGCCAGCAGCCGCGGUAAUUC